GAAGUCGAGUCAAAGUGCUGGAUCGUGCAAUCGACGUCCGUAAUAACUUGUUCUCAAUUGACUGCCUGCCUUUUUUGACAUGUCAAGACACUUCAGGAGUAUCUGAACGAGUUCAACGACUUGAAGUUCGGGGAAGUGGAGCGGUAAUGAAGAGGAGAAAAGCCUGCUCGAACAUCACUUCAGUGACAUCAUCUGGGACAGUUGGAACAACUCUACGCUCCACAUUUAAUUCAGUGUCAAUCCUGAUUUCAUCAACAUGGA